rnacentral:lncRNA from 1 species
CUUUAGGCUGCCCUCUGCUUAACCACCACAUGCCAGCUCUCACACAUUCUCCUUUAGCAGCAAGAGCCCUGGCAGCUUGGAUCGCCAACAACUUCCUUCCUACCUCCAUUCCAAGCUGCUCUCCUGCCCGGAUGGAAAGUCCCCCAAUUCUCCUUCUAUUCCGCGUCUACGCCAAUCACAUUCCAUGGAUAACUUCCCAGUCUCCUCUGGGUACAAAGUGCACAUCACCAUAAAUGAGCCAAUCAGGAGCUAUCAAUUGUGCAAGGAAGGUUACUGGAGGCAAAAUGAACCGCUGAGAUGUGAUUGGUACCAGGGUUGGGGAUACAGCUCAGAUGCAGAGUGUUUGAACAAGCACAAGGCCCUGGGUUUGAAAAGCAAGAGGCGACUGCCACCAGCCAGGGGAGGCCACACAUGCAGAUGGAAAGGGCUCCAUGUGGUUUAGGCACAAAGAGCCCCCGUGCUGUGAUUCUGAGUCAUCAAGAAGAGAAGUGUGAUUUAUAAUGCUCUCUUUAUUCUUCCACAAACUCAUUCAAAAUGUAGUCUUUUUAAAUGCAGGCUAUGAAAUAAAAAGUCAAUCCAUUGCUCCUGAAUCAAAGUUAAUAAAUAUUCAUUAAAUAGUUACAAAACCUCUUGUCAAUUUUGCUAAUUGCUAUAUUUGGCAUUCAUAAAAUAAGAACGACACAUGAAAUUG